rnacentral:misc_RNA from 1 species
GAUGAAGAACGCAGCGAAAUGCGAUAAGUAAUGUGAAUUGCAGAAUUCAGUGAAUCAUCGAAUCUUUGAACGCACAUUGCGCCCCCUGGUAUUCCGGGGGGCAUGCCUGUUCGAGCGUCAUUUCACCACUCAAGCCUCGCUUGGUAUUGGGCAACGCGGUCCGCCGCGUGCCUCAAAUCGACCGGCUGGGUCUUCUGUCCCCUAAGCGUUGUGGAAACUAUUCGCUAAAGGGUGUUCGGGAGGCUACGCCGUAAAACAACCCCAUUUCUAAGGUUGACCUCGGAUCAGGUAGGGAUACCCGCUGAACUUAAGCAUAUCAAUAGCGGGGA